GACGAACGCUGGCGGCGUGCUUAACACAUGCAAGUCGAACGGAAAGGCCCUGCUUUUGUGGGGUGCUCGAGUGGCGAACGGGUGAGUAACACGUGAGUAACCUGCCCUUGACUUUGGGAUAACUUCAGGAAACUGGGGCUAAUACCGGAUAGGAGCUCCUGCUGCAUGGUGGGGGUUGGAAAGUUUCGGCGGUUGGGGAUGGACUCGCGGCUUAUCAGCUUGUUGGUGGGGUAGUGGCUUACCAAGGCUUUGACGGGUAGCCGGCCUGAGAGGGUGACCGGCCACAUUGGGACUGAGAUACGGCCCAGACUCCUACGGGAGGCAGCAGUGGGGAAUAUUGCACAAUGGGCGGAAGCCUGAUGCAGCAACGCCGCGUGCGGGAUGACGGCCUUCGGGUUGUAAACCGCUUUCGCAUGUGACGAAGCGUGAGUGACGGUAAUGGGUAAAGAAGCACCGGCUAACUACGUG
rnacentral:rRNA from 1 species